AAGGAGUUUUAUUCUGGCUUAAGGAUUUACUAAAUGAUUGUUUUACAUGUAAAUUUUUGUAUAGUGAAUAUCUAAAUGAUUUAAUUAAAGGUGAUUGCAGUAUUUAAUAUUAUUAAUCAAGGUAAUUUGGAAUUAGCAAUUUAUGAUGAUAUCGGCAAAAGUCGUGCCAGCUGCCGCGGUUAUACGGAGGAUAUAAGUGAAUAUUAUUAGUUUAGAGUUAUUUGUAUUAAUGAAUCUAUUUAUAAAUUUGUUAGGUAAAAUUUUAAAUUUUUAUUAAGUUCAUUUGAUUAAAAGAAGCUUUGAAACUUUAAAUUGAAACUAGGAUUAGAUACCCUAUUAUUAUGAAGUGUAAAGUAUAUAGAGCUUGAGUAGUAUUAGUUAGGUUCUUGAAACUCAAAGAAUUUGGCGGUGUUUUAGUCUAUUCAGAGGAAUCUGCCCUGUGAUCGAUAAUUCACGAAUUAUUAUACUCAAUUUUGUUAAGUCAGCUUGUAUACCGCCGUCAUCAGAUUAUUUUUGUAGAAUUUAAAUUUUCUUAAAAUUAAGUAAAUUAUAUGUCAGGUCAAGGUGCAGUUUAUAAUUGAGGAGAGGUGGAUUACAAUAAAUUUAUUUAUAUGAAUAUUAAAUUGAAAUAUUUGAUUGAAGGUGGAUUUGAUAGUAAUUUUAUUGAUUAGUGAUUUGAUUGUAGCUCUAAAACAUGCACACAUCGCCCGUCGCUCUCAUUAGAAGAUGAGAUAAGUCGUAACAUAGUAGAUGUACUGGAAAGUGUAUCUAGAAUGAUCAU
rnacentral:ncRNA from 1 species